UCUUCCUUGGUCUAGUGGUCAUGAUUUCCGCUUGUCAAAGCAUCAUCGCUUAACAAGCGCGGGAGGUAAGCAUCAACCAUUCAAAUCACAGAUAAAGCAAUCACUAACAGAUUCAUUAGACCGGGGUUCGAUUCCCCGAGGGAGAG